rnacentral:snRNA from 1 species
ACCGUGCGCUGGAUUAUGACU